UAGGGAAUCUUCCGCAAUGGGCGAAAGCCUGACGGAGCAACGCCGCGUGAGUGACGAAGGUCUUCGGAUCGUAAAACUCUGUUAUUAGGGAAGAACAAAUGUGUAAGUAACUAUGCACGUCUUGACGGUACCUAAUCAGACAGCCACGGCUAACUACGUGCCAGCAGCCGCGGUAAUACGUAGGUGGCAAGCGUUAUCCGGUAUUAUUGGGCGUAAAGCGCUCGUAGGCGGUUUUUUAAGUCUGAUGUGAAAGCCCACGGCUCAACCGUGGAGGGUCAUUGGAAACCGGAAAGCUUGAGUGCAGAAGAGGAAAGUGGAAUUCCAUGUGUAGCGGUGAAAUGGGCGAAGAUAUGGAGGAACACCAGUGGCGAAGGCGACUUUCUGGUCUGUAACUGACGCUGAUGUGCGAAAGCGUGGGGAUCAAACAGG
rnacentral:rRNA from 1 species